UGUCACCCUGUAGCUUGCAAGGAUAGGUCCCUGGUGCAUUUCACCCGGUCAUGUGCAAGGAUAGGUCCCUGGUACCCUUGCAUGUCACCCUGUAGUUUGCAAGGAUAGGUCCCUGGUACCCUUGCAUUUCACCCUGUCGUGUGCAAGGAUAGGUCCCUGGUACCCUUGCAUGUCACCCUGUCGCUUGCAAGGAUAGGUCCCUGGUACCCUUGCAUGUCACCCUGUAGCUUGCAAGGAUAGGUCCCUGGUGCAUGUCACCCAGUCAUGUGCAAGGAUAGGUCCCUGGUACCCUUGCAUGUCACCCUGUCAUGUGCGAGGAUAGGUCCCUGGUACCCUUGAAUGUCACCCAGUUGUGUGCAAGGAUAGGUCCCUGGGUACCUUGCAUGUCACCCUGUCAUGUGCGAGGAUAGGUCCCUGGUACCCUUGCAUGUCACCCUGUCGUGUGCAAGGACAGGUCCCUGGUACCAUUGCAUGUCACCCUGUUGUGUGCAAGGAUAGGUCCCUGGUACCCUUGCAUGUCAACCUGUAGUUUGCAAGGAUAGGUCCCUGGUACCCUUGCAUUUCACCCUGUCGUGUGCAAGGAUAGGUCCCUGGUACCCUUGCAUGUCACCCUGUAGCUUGCAAGGAUAGGUCCCUGGUACCCUUGCAUGUCACCCUGUCGUGUGCAAGGAUAGGUCCCUGGUACCCUUGCAUGUCACCCUGAGGUGUGUGCAAGGAUAGGUCCCUGGUACCCUUGCAUGUCACCCUGUCGGGUACCGUAUUAGGACCCCUUGCUUAUUUCACAGUGGGGAUUCUAUCCUUGUAUCAUGCCAGGUUAGGUCUACAGGACUCCAUGCUUGUCAGAGAGAUUUCAUAUGGGGUUACCCUUGCCAGGAUAGGUGUUCAGCAUAUCUUUACACAAAAUGACCCUGAGGCAAGUUUUCCAUGUGACCUUGAAGUUUGUUUGUUAGAAGGCCUGGCGGUACAUACACAUUUUACUCACUCUUGAUACAUAUACAGACAGCAUCUUUAAAGUGUUUUUUUCCGAACUCUCACACAACUGUUUAGCACUGUCACAGUCUUCUGUGUGGAAAUUGUGGGACAAGUAGAACUCAUGGACAGACCAUGGAAUGAAUCUGAUGUCUUUGAUCUGGAGACAUUUGUCGUCAGAUCAUGAAGGAGACUCUGAAAUGUGUACAAACACAGAACCAUUUGAUAUGUAGUUCAUUUGAUAUGUAGAGUUACUGACUCUGAAUAUUUCAAUGCAAUGACCGCAGAUGUUUAGAACUGUUACACUAUGAGUGUCUUUGGGGAAAACCUACUGAAUAAGACCUCGUGAUUCUCCUGGAAAUAUGUACAUCUAAGGAACAGAAGUAUGUAACGAUUAUCUGAAGCAGUAAAACUGUCCACGUCUGAAAAAAAAAUGUCUGUAUGCGGUAUUGUGUGAUUCAGUACUUUCAUGUCUAAUAGAAACCGGUUUUGACUGGUGAUUUUCUUAUCAAUUAUCAUUUUCAAUUUAUAAUGUAUUUGUGUGUUUUAAUAAAUCUUUGAAAUGAAUGUGCUUUUUAUAUAUAAAUUCACAACAGGACAAACAUUCAACGCUGCAACAAAUCUUUAUUUUUUUGCUGCUUUUUACAGUCAAAUCAAGGAUGCUGAAAUGGAUUACGAAUCCUAUAUAACCACAAUCGCUCAUAAUUUAUGGCAGGGGGUGUCCAUUUUGUUCUUAAGGGGGUAUGGAAGGAGAAGAGGGUAGCUACAUAAAAAUAUUUAAAAAUUAUGGGGUAAGGGGGGGGUAAUUGAUUUUGUACAUUGAACCACCUCUAGCAAUAAAUUAUGAACGGUCCUUUGUUGAGUGUGAUACUGCAUUUACUGUCAUCUUGACCCGAGUGCCAUUGAACACAAUUUGACUUCUGAAAUGAUCCUUAUAACAACCAACAACAUCUGGACAUCGUCUACUCCUGAACAACUCAACAUUCACCGAUGAACAAAUU
rnacentral:lncRNA from 1 species